rnacentral:rRNA from 1 species
UUUGACCUCAAAUCAGGCAGGACUACCCGCUGAACUUAAGCAUAUCAAUAAGCGGAGGAAAAGAAACUAACAAGGAUUCCCCUAGUAACGGCGAGUGAAGAGGGAAGAGCUCAAAUUUGAAAUCUGGCGGCCUCAGGUCGUCCGAGUUGUAAUCUAGAGAAGUGUUUUCCGUGCUGGACCGUGUACAAGUCCUUUGGAACAAGGCGUCAUAGAGGGUGAGAAUCCCGUCUACGACACGGACUACCAGUGCUCUGUGAUACACUCUCAACGAGUCGAGUUGUUUGGGAAUGCAGCUCAAAAUGGGUGGUAAAUUCCAUCUAAAGCUAAAUAUGGGCGAAAGACCGAUAGCGAACAAGUACCGUGAGGGAAAGAUGAAAAGCACUUUGGAAAGAGAGUUAAACAGUACGUGAAAUUGUUGAAAGGGAAACGCUUGAAGUCAGUCGCGUCUUCAGAAACUCAGCCUGGCUUCUGCCUGGUGUACUUUUCUGUGGGACGGGCCAGCAUCAGUUUCGGCCGCCAGAAAAAGGUGGGAGGAAGGUGGCACCUCCGGGUGUGUUAUAGCCUCCCAUCGUAUGUGGCGGCGGGGACUGAGGACCGCAGCACGCCUUCAUGGCCGGGGUUCGCCCACGUACCGUGCUUAGGAUGCUGGCGUAAUGGCUUUAAACGACCCGUCUUGAAACACGGACCAAGGAGUCUAACAUGCCUGCGAGUAUUUGGGUGGCAAACCCAUAUGCGGAAUGAAAGUGAACGGUUGGGACUUCUGUCAUGGAAGGCACCGACGCCCGGACCAGACCUAUUGUGACGGAUCCGAGGUAGAGCAUGUAUGUKGGGACCCGAAAGAUGGUGAACUAUGCCUGAGUAGGGUGAAGCCAGAGGAAACUCUGGUGGAGGCUCGUAGCGAUUCUGACGUGCAAAUCGAUCGUCGAACUUGGGUAUAGGGGCGAAAGACUAAUCGAAC